AAAUCCGUCGACUUUAGAAGUCA
rnacentral:tRNA from 1 species